GAACAUCUACCAGUUUCAGAGUGGAAACUGUGGAGACUGGUUUCACAAAUCCAGGUAACUUUGUCUGAGCUCAAGGCGCUGCAAGUACCGACACACCUUGGCCGCUGCCUCAGGAAUGUGAACCGGGUAGAAAAGGGCUGAUAUGUUAGUUCGCUUUUUUUUUUUUUUAAUCACAGCGACUGACAACAAAUACAGGAAGUAAAGGAAGACUCAACGGAGGAGAAAGAGUGCGACAAGUGUACGUGGAGAGAGAAGUCUAGCCAGUGAAGAGGGCGUGGAGGUUUCACACAGUUUCAGUCCCUGUUCCGGUCAUAUGAGGAGUCGGACUGGUUUCACAGGUCGAGAUUUUUUACCCACUGGGAGACGGACAUCGGUUUUCACCGGCAGAAGGAAUCGUUCAAUCACCGAUCCUGCUUUAUUGAUCUGAUUAUUGGACUUCAGAAGUGGAUUCCUGUCAAAACUCACCAGAUAUGUCACAGUACGAUGCAGAAAAAGGGUUAGAAAUGCCACUGAAUCAUAUACCUGGCUCAGCUGAAGACCAACAGGAGGAUGAUCCUAAUAUAAAACACCACAGGAAACAAAGGAAGGACAAAGACAACAUAGAAAACCACAGGAAACUGGCCAUUUGCAGCAUCAUCUGUGGUUGCUCCUGUUUGGGAUACAAGGCACUGGAAAAUUCAUUCCAGGCUGAAAAUGAAGAGGACAAAGACAAAAAACUAAAGUAUUCACAAGAGGCGAAAAAGUACAGCAUAAUCUCCAUUGUCACGCUGUUUGGGCUCCUUAUCUUCAUUCCUGUGCUGCUAGUUUUCGUCUCAUAUCUUCUGACAUUGAGAGACUAAACGACUUCGGCAGAAAAACAAAAAAAGAUUAUGUGAACAACUUUGUAUUUCAUGGAGCAAAGUAACAAAAACAAAGCUGUGAUCAUUGAUUAUCAUUAGAAGUUACAACCACUACUUUUAUCUCUCCAGUAUUUAACGGAAACAAAACAGACGACUUUCAUGUUUUUAUACCCUGUGAUAUUUAUUUACCAUACGGACAAAUUAAUUUUUUUUAAAAAAAAGUUAACAUGUAAAAUCCAGCAUUGCCUUUAAAUUUGACACGAUUUGAAAAGUUGAAGAUUUCCACACAUUCAGAAAAACUGAAUACUUACAUGUAUUUUAAUUGGGAUUAAUUAGUGAAAAUCCUAAAGAGGCAAAAUAAACUUUCAAAAGCUCCUUUAUAUACAGUUCUAUAACAACUCAUUCCUCAAUAUAGUUUAUUAUUAAAAGAAAUGUAUGAAUUGUUACUGUAUAUACUAAAAUCACAAAUACAAGAGUAGAUAAAACAUUUUGAGCUUUGAGAAAUAAUAAAAACAAAUGGCAUUAUUAUUAUGGCAGUGCUUCAAAAUGACAUAAUCUUGGCAUUAUUGCAUUGUUACUUUACCUGUAUUUUAUUAUUAAAUGUAUACAUGUCCUGUACUUUUAUACAAACGAUGUAUUUUAUAAUAAAACAUGUUUUUAAA